rnacentral:rRNA from 1 species
UACAGAGGUCUCGAGCGUUGUUCGGAUUCAUUGGGCGUAAAGGGUGCGUAGGUGGCGCUGUAAGUCGGGUGUGAAAUCCUGAGGCUUAACCUCGGAACUGCAUUCGAUACUGCGGCGCUUGAGGACUGGAGAGGAGACUGGAAUUCAUGGUGUAGCAGUGAAAUGCGUAGAGAUCAUGAGGAAGACCAGUGGCGAAGGCGGGUCUCUGGACAGUUCCUGACACUGAGGCACGAAAGCGUGGGGAUCAAACAGG